UUAUUAUUGGGCUGAGAAGAAUCCAAUAAGUUAUACGAAGUUGUUAUUCGUCCGGUUACGCCCAUCCUCGUCCCCAGGGCCUCCCGGCCGUGCGCGUCAUUUCUAGGCCCUGGGACACACCGAACCGGAAGUGCAAGAAAACUUGCAGUAGUUUCUAAAGGGCAUGCUCUUGAAUUGGGACGCUUUAGCACCCGUAACAAUUUUCACAGUGAAGUAUUACGAAGAAGCGAAGUAUUUGUGUUGACAUAUGUUGAUAGAAUAAUUUUGCCUAGCGAAAACUCCUCAACUUCUGCGAAAUAGCAGUUCUCUGAAAAGCCAAUCAGAUCUCUUCCUUUAGUCGUCUAAACCAGAGCCUAAUUUUCAACGAGUGACCGAGUGAAAAUGGCUCUGGGGACGAGAAUGGGUAACGCCUUAACCACUCGGCUACCGAGGAUUUGCUUGAAAGUUAUAUACUUGAUGUCAUUUAGCAAGCUGACAAAACGAACAAAUGAACCAAUCAAAUUAACUCACGGAUCGACAGAUAGGCAAAACUCGUUGGCUUCCGUGACAAAUAACCACUGCCAAAGUUCUAUUAUUCAUUUAAACUAGAAAUACGUGCAUGCAGUAACCCCUCGCCAAUAUUGCCAUACAUUAAACAUGAAGUAUUCAGAAAUGACCAGCACUGAACGCAGGCUCGCGCUCAAGUGUUGCCAUGACAACACGAUAUUCUUAAAUUUUUAUUUUCAUAUAUUUUGUACAAAACUGCAAAAUAGUUGAAAGAUU